rnacentral:rRNA from 1 species
CCUACGGGUGGCAGUAGUGGGGAAUAUUGGGCAAUGGGCGCAAGCCUGACCCAGCAACGCCGCGUGAAGGAAGAAGGCUUUCGGGUUGUAAACUUCUUUUCUGAGGGACGAAGAAAGUGACGGUACCUCAGGGAUAAGCCACGGCUAACUACGUGCCAGCAGCCGCGGGAAUACGUAGGUGGCAGGCGUUAGCCGGAUUUAUUGGGUGUAAAGGGCGUGUAGGCGGGAAAGCAAGUCAGAUGUGAAAACUCAGGGCUCCACCCUGAGCCUGCAUUUGAAACUGUUUUUCUUGAGUGCUGGAGAGGCAAUCGGAAUUCCGUGUGUAGCGGUGAAAUGCGUAGAUAUACGGAGGAACACCAGUGGCGAAGGCGGAUUGCUGGACAGUAACUGACGCUGAGGCGCGAAAGCGUGGGGAGCGAACUGGAUUAGAUACCCCAGUAGUC